AGGUUGUAUUAUCUCGCUGCGGCAAUCUUGCCCUUCACUCUGGGACAAGCCCUUGGAAACGGGGUCUAAUACCGGAUAACACUCUGUCCUGCAUGGGACGGGGUUAAAAGCUCCGGCGGUGAAGGAUGAGCCCGCGGCCUAUCAGCUUGUUGGUGGGGUAAUGGCCUACCAAGGCGACGACGGGUAGCCGGCCUGAGAGGGCGACCGGCCACACUGGGACUGAGACACGGCCCAGACUCCUACGGGAGGCAGCAGUGGGGAAUAUUGCACAAUGGGCGAAAGCCUGAUGCAGCGACGCCGCGUGAGGGAUGACGGCCUUCGGGUUGUAAACCUCUUUCAGCAGGGAAGAAGCGAAAGUGACGGUACCUGCAGAAGAAGCGCCGGCUAACUACGUGCCAGCAGCCGCGGUAAUACGUAGGGCGCAAGCGUUGUCCGGAAUUAUUGGGCGUAAAGAGCUCGUAGGCGGCUUGUCACGUCGGAUGUGAAAGCCCGGGGCUUAACCCCGGGUCUGCAUUCGAUACGGGCUAGCUAGAGUGUGGUAGGGGAGAUCGGAAUUCCUGGUGUAGCGGUGAAAUGCGCAGAUAUCAGGAGGAACACCGGUGGCGAAGGCGGAUCUCUGGGCCAUUACUGACGCUGAGGAGCGAAAGCGUGGGGAGCGAACAGGAUUAGAUACCCUGGUAGUCCACGCCGUAAACGUUGGGAACUAGGUGUUGGCGACAUUCCACGUCGUCGGUGCCGCAGCUAACGCAUUAAGUUCCCCGCCUGGGGAGUACGGCCGCAAGGCUUAAA
rnacentral:rRNA from 1 species